rnacentral:rRNA from 1 species
GUGAGGAAUUUUGCGCAAUGGGGGCAACCCUGACGCAGCGACGCCGCGUGGAGGACGAAGUCUUUCGGGAUGUAAACUCCUGUCAGUGGGGACGAUAAUGACGGUACCCACAGAGGAAGCACCGGCUAACUCCGUGCCAGCAGCCGCGGUAAGACGGAGGGUGCAAGCGUUGUUCGGAAUUACUGGGCGUAAAGCGUAUGUAGGCGGCAAGUUAAGUUCAAUGUUAAAGCCCACGGCUCAACCGAGGAGAUGCAUUGAAUACUGGCUAGCUAGAGGGUGUUAGAGGAAGACGGAAUUCCCAGUGUAGCGGUGAAAUGCGUAGAUAUUGGGAGGAACAUCGGUAGCGAAAGCGGUCUUCUGGGACAUACCUGACGCUGAGGUACGAAAGCGUGGGGAGCAAACGGGAUUAGAUACCCCUGUAGUCC